UUCUCUCUACACAUAGUCAACUAACACAGG
rnacentral:piRNA from 1 species